GAAGCUAUGAUGAGAUUAAACACUUUGAUGUGUUAUGGGCAGUGGACAUAGCUUUUAGUUAAGUUAUGCCGUGAGCCUAUAUAUUAAACGACUUCUCCUUCCACUGAGCUUC
rnacentral:snoRNA from 1 species